GGGCUCACUUUGGCAACAUGAAUAGUAAAAUUGGCACAAUACAGAGAACUUAAUAUGGCUCCUGCACAAGGAUGCACAAAUUUGUUCAGCAUUAUGUAAUUUU
ensembl:snRNA U6 U6 spliceosomal RNA